AUGACCUAAGCAAAAACCAGAGAAAAGAAUUAUCGAAUCAAUUUAUCUUUCAACAAUUCUAGAGACGAAUAUCUUUUCAUUGUCGAUUGUGAUUUGCGAAACAAUUAUUAUGGAAGAGAAACGCGUUCGAAUUAAUCGUUUUCUAUUUUGAAUCAAGGGUAGCGGUUCUAAUUCCUUUGAAAUCGUGAUUGUUCGAAGACGAUUCUUAAUUGUAGGGUAAUUAAUAACAGUGACGUGGCACGUGGCCAAAAAUUAUAUUAUAUAGUGUAGAUUCGUGGCAGUGGCAGUGAGGUCGAAAGGCACAUGGAUGGAAAGAGGGAAAAGAGCUUUAAGCCGCUCUCUGAGUACGUUGUCAUCCGCUCUGCUGAACAUCGCGCCAGGAUCAGGGUUAAUGCUUCUGUUCGAUGGGAGCCUGCCUUCUGAUGCAGACGGAGGGUACAAGCGCUACUGUUUCUUGCAUGUGGUCGAACAAUCGAUGAGAAGUUGCUGAAGAGUCAAGCCAGAAUCGGGAAUUUCGAGAUCCAAGAGACGCAUCAUGUCGGAGGGGUGAUGGAAAUCGAGCACUUUUGCGUUUCUAUCAUUCGUGGACUUGAUGAAAUCCAACAGAAUGUCUACCACCUUCAUCAGGAACUCUCUGGUCGCUGGAUAACCUUCGGCAUUCUGCGGCAGGAUAUCUGAGAGCAAUAAAAAUUAAAAA